GGGGGUCGAGUAUGGGUGGAGAUAUAUCUAGCUUGAAACUAGGAGUGGGGGGUUCAAGUCCCCCGACCCUCU
rnacentral:tRNA from 1 species